CAAAAAUAUAACGUCCACCACACUGUCCAGCACCAGCCAGGCUAUGUUGUUCUGCUUCGUUUUGAAGGAAACGUUAUAGGGAACCAUAAUGGCGGUGUAGAAGAACAUGGAACCUGGAAAUUGUGAAAAGGAGUUGAAAGAAUAGAUCCGAGAGCUCUGCUCCAUGCCAUCAAUGAAGCUAAGGCUGAGUGAACCUAUAUAAAUUCAAACAUCCCAUGGACCCCUAAAAGCACUGUAGCCCCACACACUGUGUUUAUAGACAAGCCUGCCC